UACCUGUGCAACCUGGUCUAGGGAGCCUGCUUUGGGAGGAGGAGUGGACUCGAUGAUCGCUAGAGUUCCAGCCCCUACAAUUCUGUGAUUCUGUGAUUCCUACACCUCCUGCAUGCAGACAACACCAGAGAGCCCUUUGAACCCAUGCUGAGCCCUGUGAGCCUGCCCUGAGUCCUGCCAGCCCCUGCUUCUGGCUCUGCCACGGCACUGAAGGAGCUCUCAAAGCAGAGCUGCAGGCAUUGGCCCCAGGGUCGUGGUUUUCUCUCCAUGGGUCUGUUUUGCUGUCUGGGGCAUCUUCCUACGCACGGCACAGGCCUUGGUCUCUCCGUAGGUGGGUGAGGAGCAGAGAUCCAGCACUUCUUAAAGCUUUCACAGAGACUGGCAGCUGAAGCUAGGUCAGUUUAAACAGGAAACAAGACACAGUUACGUACAUAACGAUGGUUAACUAGUGAAAUAAAUUACCGGGGAGCGAAUGCCGUUAGGCGCGGUGCAGGUUGGUCCCAUGCACAGGCGGUUCUGCAGCUCCAAGGCCCGAAGCACGAGUAACUCUGGGCCUGAGGCAGGAGGUCACUCCGAAGAUGGUGCGGGUGCUGCCGGCCCGGCGUUCUGCUGCUCUCUGGAAAUGGUGUGUCAGAGGGUUUUUCUCUCCACAGCCAGACUGGGAGCUUGAAGUGCACAUGGUUACUGACAACUCCCAACUGUCAGUAAAGCUGUUCCGCAGAAAGUGUUACAUGACUGAUGUCUCUACAACUGCACUUUUCCAAACAGAUGGGGGGAAAAAAAAAGGCACCGGUCUCGAAUCAAAUUAGUCUUGACAGAUUACGCAAAAGAAAUUGAACACACGCUCCACAUUUUGGGCAACUUCUAAAUAUAAUGUCUCCAUUGAAAACAAAGUAUACGGCGGCGCUAAAAAUGUGUAAAUAUAGAGCUAUAAAACUUUCCUCACAUUAUAGACUGAGGACCACUGUGAGGGGCUGUAAAAGCAGCAUCUGCGUGGGGCGGGAGGCCCCGAGAGCGGCCACACCUUGUCCAGCGCACAGAUAAGCUCGCUUUUGAAAGCUCCCUGUUUGCCUUACAGAGCUUUGUCUAUUCAGAACACGGGGCAAAGAUAAAAAUGUUCCCAUUGCAACUGAUGUCACGAUUGCAUUUAGAAAUAAUAAAUCCUUGACAUUACGGAAAAAAAAUUAAAAUAACCCACACGGGAAAAGGUGAUAUUUAUACUCUGUUGCAGCUGGAAACACACUGUAAUAAAGAAUUAACCACUG
ensembl:lncRNA